rnacentral:rRNA from 1 species
CAGUAGCCGCGGGAAAACAGAGGGUGCGAGCGUUAAUCGGAUUUACUGGGCGUAAAGGGCGCGUAGGCGGCCUGUUAAGUCGGAUGUGAAAGCCCGGGGCUCAACCCCGGAACUGCAUCCGAGACUGGCAGGCUUGAGACCGGGAGAGGAGGGUGGAAUAUCCAGUGUAGAGGUGAAAUUCGUAGAUAUUGGAUGGAACACCGGUGGCGAAAGCGGCUCUCUGGCCCGGAUCUGACGCUGAGGCGCGAAAGCGUGGGGAGCAAACAGGAUUAGAUACCCCUGUAGUCCCUGUCUCUUAUAC